rnacentral:rRNA from 1 species
CCUACGGGAGGCAGCAGUGAGGAAUAUUGGUCAAUGGGCGCGAGCCUGAACCAGCCAAGUCGCGUGAGGGAGGACGGCCCUACGGGUUGUAAGCCUCUUUUGCCGGGGAGCAACGGGCGCCACGUGUGUCAUCACUGAGAGUACCCUGAGAACAAGCAUCCGCUAACUCCGUGCCAGCAGCCGCGGUAAUACGGGGUAUGCGAGCGUUAGCGGGUUUUAUUGGGGUUGAAGGGGGCGUGUGCGGACAGGUAAGUUAGUGGUCAAAUUGAGGGGCCCAACCCCUUCCCGCCAUUGAAACUGGUGAACUUGAGUGGAAGAGAGGUAUGCGGAAUGCGUGGUGUAGCGGUGAAAUGCAUAGAUAUCACGCAGAACACCGAUUGCGAAGGCAGCAUGCCGGACUCCGACUGACGCUGAAGCACGAAAGCGUGGGGAUCGAACAGGAUUAGAUACCCUUGUAGUC